GGGGGCCCGCAAGCGGUGGAGCAUGUGGUUCAAUUCGACGCAACGCGAAGAACCUUACCUGGGCUCGAAAUGUAGUGGAAUCGGGUGGAAACAUCCGCGUCUCGCAAGAGACUGCUAUAUAGGUGCUGCAUGGCUGUCGUCAGCUCGUGUCGUGAGAUGUUGGGUUAAGUCCCGCAACGAGCGCAACCCUUAUCCCUAGUUGCCAUCGGGUCAAGCCGGGCACUCUAGUGAAACCGCCCGGGAUAACCGGGAGGAAGGUGGGGAUGACGUCAAGUCCUCAUGGCCUUUAUGUCCAGGGCUACACACGUGCUACAAUGGUCGGUACAAACCGUCGCAAACCCGCGAGGGGGAGCUAAUCGGAAAAAGCCGGCCUCAGUUCGGAUUGGAGUCUGCAACCCGACUCCAUGAAGCUGGAAUCGCUAGUAAUCGCGGAUCAGAACGCCGCGGUGAAUACGUUCCCGGGCCUUGUACACACC
rnacentral:rRNA from 1 species